CACGUAGGGUGCGAGCGUUGUCCGGAAUUAUUGGGCGUAAAGAGCUCGUAGGCGGUUUGUCGCGUCUGCUGUGAAAACUCGGGGCUUAACUCCGGGCCUGCAGUGGGUACGGGCAGACUAGAGUGCGGUAGGGGAGACUGGAAUUCCUGGUGUAGCGGUGAAAUGCGCAGAUAUCAGGAGGAACACCGGUGGCGAAGGCGGGUCUCUGGGCCGUAACUGACGCUGAGGAGCGAAAGCGUGGGGAGCGAACAGG
rnacentral:rRNA from 1 species